ensembl:lncRNA
AUUGUAGGAAAUUCCUACAAAAUCCAGCUUUUGCAGUAUGAUAAGUGGACCGCUUGCGAGUGUAAAACUACCAGCCAAUCAUAUCGCGGCAUGAUGGCUUCCAGCUAAUCCCAGCGCAGGGGGCGGGAUAUGUUCCAAAACCAGUGGCGUAAAAAAAGAGAAAAAAAAGAAGUGGUCUGGCGUUUCUGAGUGAGAAGGACGAAGACACGUCUGGGAUCUAAGUGUCCAAGUUACAGUGACUUACUCUCCAAGGCGGGUAUUAUGUUUCUGUCGAUGAAAUGUACAGAAUAGGCGAAAAAAAAUAUUGCAUUUUUGCAUCGUAUUAAGUUUCAGAUAAUGUGUCCUAGCAAGUGUAGGUUAGACACAGAGCUAUAUUUGAGCUAAGUAACUUUUCAGCUGAAAGUGAACAGGCGACAUUCACGGCCCUUGGAUCCGUUAACCUUAAAGCUGGCUAACGUACCUGCAGUGCGUGGAGCUGCUGAACUACAGCCGACUGUUUUAUUCAGUCUUGAGGUAAGACUUUAAGACGUAUACUGUCUUUUCAUGCUUAAAUAAGUUGUCAACUAAUGUUGCUUUCUCUAACGUUAGACAAGCGGCUCAGGUCUGUAAGAGCCCGGCUAAGGUUUUCACUACUGUCUACCUCGCUAAAUAAAAGUACUUUAGCCCAACUACUUCCAACUUUUCUCUCAGGGCCUCCGAGCUUAGACAGCCACAAUUAAUUUUCCUCACUAGUUCUUUAUAACGUAGUAAACUAAAAGGACUACUGCUCGGCAUAUCGGCAAGUUAAAUAAACCAACUGUAAAUAUAGUUUAGUCAAGAAAGCUAAUAAACUGCCUGUAAGCAGCGUGUGUGACUUCAGAGCUCCGAGAUGAUUCUCGGUUGUUUGUUGUUUACUAUCUUUGGCUCACCUUUUUCUCAUUCAAUUACUGGGUAUUAUUAAUUAAUACCUAGUUAAUAUGUAGGAGAAAUCUCAUUUGGAUGGAGUUGCUUAUUGCUGGAUACAUUUUACAAACCUAGUUUUACUACCCCAAUUCUGAAAACGUUGGGACAGUAUGGAAAAUGUAAAAAAAACAAUAAAGUUUUAAAUUCAGUUCACUCUGUACUAUAUUGAAAACACAUUAUUUGAUGUCUUACUUUGUGAAUUUAAUUUAUUUUUGGAAAAUAUACACUCCAAAUCUGAUGACUGCACCAAAAAAGUUGGGACAGUCGACUGUUUACCAAUAUGUAAGAUCACCUUUUCUUUUAUCACUUAUUAAGCGUUUGGGCGCUGAGUGAAGACACCAGUUGGUUAAGUUUACCAAGUGGAAUUUCCCCCCAUUCAUCCAUUAUGCAUUUCAUCAGGUGCACAAGUGUACGGGCCUUCAUUGCCUUAUUCUAUAAAGCGCCGCACAUUCUCAAUCAGAGACAGGUCAGGACUGCAGGCAGGCCAUACUAGCACCCGCACUCUGUGCUUACGCAACCAUGCGCUUGUAAUCCGGACAGAAUGUGGUUUGGCGUUGUCCUGCACUGGAUGGCAGCAUAUGUUGUUCCAAAAUGUGUACAUAUCUUUCUGCAUUAAUGCUACCCUCACAGAUGUGCAAGUUUCUCAUGCCAUGGGCACUGACACACCCCAUGUGUGUCUUUUGCCCGGAGAACACAACGACUGUUUUGUCCAAAAGCUAUUGGAAAUGUUAACUCGUCAGCCCUCAAAACACAAUUCCACUGUUCUGUGAAAAAUUGUCUCCAUUCCAGAUUCAUGACGGUUUUUAAGACAGUGACGUCUGAGGGAUUUAAGAUCACACUCAUUCAGAAGUGGUUUUCGGCCUUGUCCUUUACGCAUCGAGAUUUGACCGGAUUCCUUGAAUCUUUCAAUUAUAUUGUGCACUGUAGAAACUGAAAUGCCCAAAAUCCUACCGAUUUGUCUUUGGGAAUGUUGUUCUGAAAGUGUUGGAUUAUUCACUGAUUCAUCUAUUGUCAGAUUGGUGAGCCUCGACCCAUCCUUGCUCUUGAAGGACUAAGCCUUUUUUCGAGGCACCUUAUAUACAUUGAUAUUAUAUACCUAAUAUACGGUAAAACUACACAACUAUUUGUUGUUAUAUAAGACCGAAAAGAACCAAAUACACACAGACACACACCAGAAUAUAUAUUAUUCAUUUUGGACUGUAGUUGGAUUCAGUGCUUUUUGUGCAUCCAUAAAAAGUAAUGCAUGUAUGUAUGUAUGUAUGUAUGUGUAUGUGUGUGUGUGUGUGUGUGUGUGUGUGCGUGUGUAAAAUUUAUAUAUAUAAAUAAAAUUUUCAGCCCGGGAGUUUAAUCCCCAAGAACAGUCCAUUUUUUGUGUGGUGGAAGAACUUGGAAAAAUUAAGUGACGGUUCAGUUCAUACUAUUGUUAUAUUUACAGUAUUAAUAGCAUACUAAGUAUUGAUUUCUGCUACAAAAGUCAAACUAACGUUAUGAAAAAGAAUUUGGUUUGCAUUCAAACAAAUAUGAAGUAUUUCAGUAAGAAAUAUACUUUUUUGGCAGCUACCUCAUUGCACAGCAUGAGACGGCAGUUUGUUUAUUUCUCUAUGGUACUCACACUUGUGGCUGUCUGUGACUGGUUCUCAAACUAAACUGCAGGAACAGGGGAGAAAACUAUUUGAGUCAGGGACAGUUUGGUGAAGUGGCUACCUGAAGCUGUGUUCACACGUAAUGUUUUUAUUUCUGAAGCGGUCAGCACCUGUUUUACACAAUGAUUUCAACUGCAUUUUCUGUGUGUGUUUAUACUUAUAAUAUAUUGGCACUCUUGGUAAAUAUGAGCAAAGAAAGCUGUGAAAAUUUGUAUUUUCUUCUUUAACCUUUUGAUCUUUUGUUAAAAAAAAAAAUUCACAAGAAUUUACAGCUGCUGGGGGAGUGAUGGUAAAUUCAACAUCUUUUCUCUUCUGACUACCGUAAUCCAUCACUAUAUAUUUUUUGCCUCUCUUGGAAAGUCAUGGGAAGGAAAUACUGGAGUUUUUUUUUCCUUCACUGUUGGAGCAAAUGGUAAUGCAAAAAGGAUAUUUGCUACCGUUUCCCAUAUACCUCUAUAGAAGUUUACCCUGCUAUAGGUUACUUAAACCCAGAAAUGGAUGUAUAUUCAUGAACACAAUACAUUAUAGCUGAUGUAUCGUGUAGCAUGAUUGAAGUGACAUACAGGUGUUAAAUUUAUUUGGAAAUGUCUUACAUUUGAAGUGCUGGUACCUGCAGAUACCCUGUUUUACGGCUGAACAUGCUGAAACAGAAAGGCCAUCCUGAACUACUAUGUAAUCAGAAACCUUACUUCUAGCUGCAUGUGGUCUUAGUAGAAGUACAAAACCUUGUCAGAAUUAAGUAAGAGGAAGUUAAUAAGCAUUCAGUGUUUAAUGUCCUUUACACAUUUCUCAAUUUUAUUAAGCUGAUGUGUGUCAUCUGGCUUUGCUGAAACAUUUAAUUAUGCGUCAUCAGUAUAAAAGUUGAAGCUAAUUCCAUGUUUACGAUGAAUUUGACCCAGAGGUAGCAUAUAUAAAGAAAAAAGCAGUGGGCCUAAAACAGAACCUUGUGGAACACCAAACUUUACCUUAGUAUACCUAGGGAUGUCACGAUACCAAAAAUCUAGUAGUCGGUACUGAUACCACCAAAAGUACACAAAACAUGAUACCAAAGUCGAUACCUCGGUGUAGUAUAAAAUAAAUAAAUAAAUAAAAUUAAAAACUCCUGGAGGACAUCCUCCUCUGGCUGAUACUGGCAAAGAGAGAGAGAGGAUAUUUUAGUUAUCAAACAUUACCUGACAAUGACUAAUAAAACAAUGCUAAGUGCUAAUAACAAGUGCUAAGGUACACUCCUAAACACACACCCUAUACACUGAAUGCAAGCAUUAGUUAAAAUUCACUGACGUGGUCUCAGGCCAAAAAGAUUUAUUAAAACCAUUAAAAUUGAAAUAAUUAUUUAAUCUAGUGACAUUAGGCUACAUGUUGCUGACAGGACACUGGCUGAAUGGAGCUGUAUGGUGGUCCAUUAGGAGGUAGUUUAUAACAUUACAAUGCGUUAGUAUCGUUAACAAAUAACAGGCUAUCGCUAACAUUACAUGGAGCAUAACGUUAGCUGGUUUCACGGCUACAAUGCCAGCUGCCUCAAACAAACAAUAUAGGGGGUCUUUCAGGAUAAGGAUUAGAAGUUUUACAGUUUGUUUGACGUUAAUAUGACUUGAAACUCACCCACCUUGAAUUCUUUGAAAAGAUCGGGGUGCCUGUCUUUCAGGUGCUUUGCCAAAUUCGAGGUGUUUCCUCCCUUUGUUUGAAGUGUACGAUUGCACACCGGCUUCAGAGCAUCAAUUAUAUGUCCGUUUUUAUGUCCGCCUCGAAUGCGAAGUAUUUCCAUAUUCGACUCUUGCCUUUUUUCCUUUCAACGAGUCGGGGAGUAGCUGAACUUGUCGCCAUAGAAAAACUUUUAGAAAUACACAUACACACGGGAAAACGUUAUACUUUGUACUUUCGUUAAACGUUGUACUUUCGUAACCAACGGAACUGCAGAAAAACAAGUACCGUCACGUUUUAAGAAUGUUGGUACCGAAGUAUCGGUUCUCGUGACAUCCCUAAUUUGUAUACAAGUGUAAUAAUAACAGUUGCAAUAUUAAUGUCUAUUUAUAGCCUAUCAUAUAGUGGGAGAUUUUAUGUUAAUACACAAAUUAGGUAAUCAUAAUCAAAUGCCUUAAAUGGUGUCUGUUAGUUUGGAUCAGGUUUGUUUGAGCAUAGCAAAAUCCAGUUAGGCGAAUUCUGCAAUUUCACUUCAGGUUCUGCCGCUGCGAUGGAUCUUGUUGGGUAACCAAAUGUUACAUCUGCGAGCUGGGAACAUUUUGAAUUCGUGCCUAAUGAGUGAGGUGAACAAAUUAAUUUGGAUGAAACCAUAUGUCGGCUUUGUAGAGGGGAAAAAAGCAAGUUUUAAAUGGGCAAACACCACCCUACAAAUCUCAGGAGCCAUCUCCAGGCAUGUCACCCAGCUGUGUUUUUUAAAAAAAUUUAUUUAUUUUUUUUACAAUUUUUAUUUAAUAUUUAGAUUUUUAACAUAUUAUUUAGGUUACCGUCCUACAGGUAUUUCUUUCAAAGUUUUAUAGGCUUGUGG